UACGUAGGGGGCAAGCGUUGUCCGGAUUUAUUGGGCGUAAAGAGCGUGUAGGCGGCCAAGCAGGUCAGCUGUGAAAACUCGAGGCUCAACCUCGAGACGUCGGUUGAAACCGCUUGGCUAGAGUCCGGAAGAGGAGAGUGGAAUUCCCGGUGUAGCGGUGAAAUGCGCAGAUAUCGGGAAGAACACCGGUGGCGAAGGCGGCAUCCUGGACCGAGAUUGACGCUGAGGCGCGAAAGCCAGGGGAGCAAACGGG
rnacentral:rRNA from 1 species